UACACUCCUGCGGGAGGCAGCAGUGGGGAAUAUUGCACAAUGGGCGCAAGCCUGAUGCAGCCAUGCCGCGUGUAUGAAGAAGGCCUUCGGGUUGUAAAGUACUUUCAGCGGGGAGGAAGGCAAUACGGUUAAUAACCGUGUUGAUUGACGUUACCCGCAGAAGAAGCACCGGCUAACUCCGUGCCAGCAGCCGCGGUAAUACGGAGGGUGCAAGCGUUAAUCGGAAUUACUGGGCGUAAAGCGCACGCAGGCGGUCUGUCAAGUCGGAUGUGAAAUCCCCGGGCUCAACCUGGGAACUGCAUUCGAAACUGGCAGGCUUGAGUCUUGUAGAGGGGGGUAGAAUUCCAGGUGUAGCGGUGAAAUGCGUAGAGAUCUGGAGGAAUACCGGUGGCGAAGGCGGCCCCCUGGACAAAGACUGACGCUCAGGUGCGAAAGCGUGGGGAGCAAACAGGAUUAGAUACCCGUGUAGUCCCAUGA
rnacentral:rRNA from 1 species